UCGGGAAUUUUGGGCAAUGGGCGAAAGCCUGACCCAGCAACGCCGCGUGAGGGAUGAAGUAUUUCGGUAUGUAAACCUCGAAAGAAUGGGAAGAAUAAAUGACGGUACCAUUUAUAAGCUCCGGCUAACUGCGUGCCAGCAGCCGCGGUAAUACGUAGGGAGCAAGCGUUGUUCGGAUUUACUGGGCGUAAAGGGCGCGUAGGCGGCGCGGUAAGUCACUUGUGAAAUCUCUGAGCUUAACUCAGAACGGCCAAGUGAUACUGCUGUGCUAGAGUGCGGAAGAGGCAACCGGAAUUCUUGGUGUAGCGGUGAAAUGCGUAGAUAUCAAGAGGAACACCUGAGGCGAAGGCGGGUUGCUGGGCCGACACUGACGCUGAUGCGCGAAAGCCAGGGGAGCAAACG
rnacentral:rRNA from 1 species